UACGUAGGGUGCGAGCGUUAAUCGGAAUUACUGGGCGUAAAGCGCACGCAGGUGGUUGGGUAAGUCGGAUGUGAAAGCCCUGGGCUUAACCUGGGAACUGCAUUCGAUACUGCCCGGCUAGAGUAUGGGAGAGGGAAGCGGAAUUUCCGGUGUAGCGGUGAAAUGCGUAGAUAUCGGAAGGAACACCAAUGGCGAAGGCAGCUUGCUGGGACGGUACUGACGCUGAAGCGCGAAAGCUAGGGGAGCGAACGGG
rnacentral:rRNA from 1 species